UGUGUCUCAAAAGUCGGGGACGCUGAGGUAGAGGGUGACAAUUUUUUCGGGACUCCCACGGGUCACGGUAUUCCCGCGGGAGUCCCGCGGUACGGGAGUCAAUUUCACUGUUGGUAACGUGAUAGGGACGGAAUAGAGCACAGAAAUCAACGGGAGCGGGACAG